rfam:Gossypium hirsutum cultivar TM-1 chromosome 9, whole genome shotgun sequence
CUCGUCAGUGCGCUAUGCUGACGUGAACACAAAUUGUGUUCUUAAGGCCGCAUUUUGUUGCCACGUAAGCAAAGCGCGCUGACGUGG